UGUGUAGUCAAUAACCUUAAGAGGAUUCUUGAGGAGAAGGGCCACACAUGUACACGUCGAACCAAGUUUGCAGCUGGAAACCUCGGUAAGUAAACCAGACCUGGUGUGUAUCCGUGACAAUCACGCUUGCGUGAUUGAUGCGCAGAUUAUAACGGAUGGACUGUUUCUCGACGAUGUGCACCAUCGCAAAGUUGAGAAAUAUAAAAGACCGGAAGUUAUAUCUGCACUGCGGAGAGAAUUCGGAGUGUCGGGCAACGUCGAAGUCCUAUCCGCGACGUUAAACUGGCGUGGGAUCUGGAGCAAUCAAUCCGUUAGAAGAUUGAUAGCAAAGGGUCUCAUCUCAUCCGGUGACAGCAAUGUCAUUAGCGCCAGAGUGGUAACAGGCGGACUAUAUUGCUUCAGACAGUUCAUGUAUCUCGCAGGUUACACUCGAGAUUGGACUUAGCCUAUACACUAUGUUGGAGAGAAGACGCUUGCUACCUAGGCAAAAUGUGAAAUUAGGUAUAAACAUCGUGGUUGUAAAACUUGAGGUGGGUUUUUAGUACGUAUGCGUGAUUACUUCGUAAUCAUGAAUCGUGCAUGCUAGUGGGGUUUGGCCUCCACUAGUAUCUUUGAAGAUUUUCCUUUCCUCAGCGAUCAAAAAAAAAAAAAAAAAAAAGGAAUAGCCAAAUGCCUCGUCAUCUAAUUAGUGACGCGCAUGAAUAGAUUAACGAGAUUCCUACUGUCCCUAUCUACUAUCUAGCGAAACCACAGCCAAGGGAACGGGCUUGGAAUAAUUAGCGGGGAAAGAAGACCCUUUUGAGCUUGACUCUAAUCUGGCAGUGUAAGGAGACAUAAGAGGUGUAGCAUAAGUGGGAGAUAUUAGAUUUCGGUUUGGUAUCGACAAUGAAAUACCACUACUCUUAUUGUUUCCUUACUUACUUGAUUAAAUGGAACGUGUAUCAUUUCCUAGCCAUUAUACGGAUAUAUUUAUUAUAUCUUAUGGUAUUGGGUUUUGAUGCAAGCUUCUUGAUCAAAGUAUCACGAGUUUGUUAUAUAAUCGCAAACAAAUUCUUUAAUGAGAAAAUGCAUUUAUGUAUUUUCAAUUUGAAAAUUUGGUAUAACUCCCAAUUACUCAGGUAUGAUCCAAUUCAAGGACAUUGCCAGGUAGGGAGUUUGACUGGGGCGGUACAUCUCUCAAAUAAUAACGGAGGUGUCCCAAGGUCCAGCUCAGUGCGGACAGAAACCACACAUAGAGCAAAAGGGCAAAUGCUGACUUGAUCUCGAUGUUCAGUACACACAGGGACAGCAAAAGCUCGGCCUAUCGAUCCUUUUGGUUUAAAGAGCUUUUAA
rnacentral:ncRNA from 1 species